CCCUUAGAUGUCCUGGGCCGCACGCGCGCUACACUGAUGCAUGCAACGAGUUUAUAACCUUGGCCUGAAAGGUCUGGGUAAUCUUUUGAACGUGCAUCGUGAUAGGGAUAGAUUAUUGCAAUUGUUAAUCUUGAACGAGGAAUUCCUAGUAAACGCGAGUCAUCAGCUCGCAUUGAUUACGUCCCUGCCCUUUGUACACACCGCCCGUCGCACCUACCGAUUGAAUGGUUCGGUGAAGAUCCCGGACUUCGAUAUUUAUUCUUUAUUGAGUUUAUAUUGUGGGAAGUUAUCUAAACCUCAUCAUUUAGAGGAAGGUGAAGUCGUAACA
rnacentral:rRNA from 1 species